AGGUGGUGCAUGGCUGUCGUCAGCUCGUGCCGUAAGGUGUUGGGUUAAGUCCCGCAACGAGCGGAACCCUCGUGUUUAGUUGCCAACGUUGAGUUUGGAACCCUCAACAGACUAUCGGUGAUAAGCCGAAGGAAGGUGAGGAUGACGUCAAGAGUUCCAAAUCUU
rfam:Beta vulgaris subsp. vulgaris Bvchr1.sca002.con0001.1, whole genome shotgun sequence.